GUUGCGUUGCAGUUUAUUGAGCUCCAUCGAGAAGUGUGACGAAGAAGGCCGUUAAUAAUUCAACUACUUAAAGAAUACGGGUUAGAUAUGGACAACGACUUCGAAGACAUUUGCAGUAGGCUAAACAGAGAAAGAGAGGGAGACCCAAAACUACCUGUCCUGGCAUCACAUUUGAGGAGAAGAAGUCGGUGAAUAUGACCUAGCCCGGGGGAGUUUCCAGAAGAAGGCCCAGAACCACCGGCCGCCAGGAGUGGAGGUCCUUUGUUGUUGCUCUACAUGUCAGGAGGCAUCGGGCAGUAGGUAAGACUAACCCUGGUAGAAGCACCAUCUUGAUACUAUCAUUCAAACUCUCAUCAGCUGUAUCAUUAUAGGUGGACUAAAAGAACAAUAUUCAUGCAGAUAUAAUGAUGCCUUAAGUUGAAAUGGAAGGUGUCCUGAAUCUGCACCCAUUCAUCUGGUUUCGUAAUUCCUUUCAUAGUGCUAUUGGAACCUGCUCCCUACCAGUAUAACAUCAAACAGAUCGGAAGAAUAAAGGCCAAUGGGAAGUGCCUUUUAUAUUUCUACUUGCCACAAAGCAGUCCAUGGUUUAGCGCAAUCUAAACUGGACUAUUGUAAUGCUCUUCAUGCUUGAAUUAGGGCGAUCUGGACUGACUGCAGAUAGUACAGAAUGCUGCAUCUAUUGUGCCAUUUGCCAUACGCCAACUUCGCUGGCUGCAAGUCAAGGAAAGGAUAUACAUGAACAUUAGUGUCCGUCUCCUGAUUUUCAAAGUCAAUGACAGAGAUCCAGAUUACAUGUAUUAUAAGGAAUCCCUUGUGCGUCAUUUUCAUUCUAGGCGCACUUGCCUUUUUAUUUUUGUGAUCAUUACGCACCUACAAAUUAGCUACUGGUGAUGCAACUUUCUCCACUACUGCUCCAAGGCCAUGGAAUUAGCUCCUUCCUCUCCUCCAGUUGUCAACAACCUUGGAUCAAUCCAAAUACAAUUUGAGAAGACCUACCAUAUUCCUGAUCUUUGCUCUGUACUUACAACAAUACUGUCACUGCCUGGUAAUUUGAAUUUUUUUAAAUCUCAUGUGCUGACUAGGAUGGCGUCUCAAUUCAUCCAAAUUAGACAAGGGAUAAUAAAGUAAUGUAUGACAUUCUAACCUCUGCAUUAUUUUGGUGAAAGAGCUCUAAGCAUAUGCAAGUAGCAAGCUGAUGAUGUCAUACUGACGUACAUUGUACAUGUACACGUAUCCCCAACUUAUUAUUUUGUAUAUAAAAUUGUGCAUUUAAUUUUGUUUACCAAGAAUGAAAGAAAUCGGAUUGUAAACUGUACUGAUGUGACUUACCUAUAUUGAUUAUUGCUGGAAGUUCUUUUGCUACAUGGGAUUGGAAGACAUAUUUAUUACACACAUGAAGUAAAUUAUUAUUUUAUCUGGUAACAUGAGAACAAAAAAAAUGUGGGCAUGAUAUCAUAAACUUACAUGUAUCUACUUGCAUGUGUUGAUGACCAAUAUUUGUGUAAUUAUUUUUUUUUUAGUUUUAUCUGAUUUUGAUAAAAUUUUCACUUUUUUGCAUGGUAAAAAUUACUUUAUUUUAGAUUAUGUUGAGCCCGGAUCAUAUAAAAGUACAACUUUAAAGAUAAAUUACCAGUUGUAGUAACAAUCUUAAAAUGAGUUCGAACAGAAUCCAAUAGAAUUACCAGCAAAAUAUAAAAGAUAUGUGCCAUAAUUAUAGCUCGGGAAGAAAAUGUGUAAUUGCCGAGAAAUGAGCAAAAUAAGCAUGUAAUUCUAUCAAAUGUCAGGUAUUUUUCAAAUCAAUCAUAAUACACUGUCCUGUCCCACAUAUGCUUUUCUGUGUUAGUGAUCAUCAGAAUAAUUGAUUUUAAGUUCAAAAUUAGUAAUUUUACAAAGAUACAAGUUUACAUUAAUGUACCAGAUCUAGAGAUUAUGUACAAUGUUUUGACAAUUUCUCAUGAAAUAAUUGUUUGCUGCAACUGCUGUCUUUUUAAUACCUCUAAGUGAUAGUGUAAUACAACCACAAACUUUUCUUAAGAAUUAAUGUACAUGUAUGAUUCUUUCACCCAAAUUUACAUGCAUUGAUACUGUUGACUACUUGCCAAAAGCCUUUUUUUUAAACGAUGUACAUGCUUUUAUAGACGACCUGCCAAAACAUUGUAUUGUAUAUAUAUUCAAGGACCAACCAAAAAGAGAUGAAUAAAAUGUUUGAAGGAAAUUGAAAUUACUUUAAAAAUGAUAGCUGUCAAUGCAGUAUUAUUACAGGGUUCCCACAGUCAUGGAAAAUCCUGGAAAAAAUUGGUCAUGGAAAGUCAGAACUAUGUGAAAAGUCAUGGAAUUGCAUUUACCUCUUGGCUAUGACAGCUUUCUGGUUUUUUAUGUCUCACAACUCUCAUACUCUGUGAUUGUACUCUACUAUUAUAAUUGGUGUUCAUGAUCAUAACAUGUCUGAUUUUGUAAACUGUGCCAGAAAGGAAUUAAGUCAUGGAAAGCAGCAAUUUAGUCAUGGAGAGGUCAUGGAAUUCUGUUUUCAAAUUUCUGUGGGAACCCUGAAUAGGUUUGUGCACUUGACACAGUGUGCACUACAGAUGAACUUUGUAAUGCCAUAUAAACCAGUACAAUAUC